rnacentral:misc_RNA from 1 species
AACCAUUCUCACCUGCGGCUAGACCUGCGGAGGGAUCAUUACCGAGUUUACAACUCCCAAACCCCUGUGAACAUACCUAUACGUUGCCUCGGCGGAUCAGCCCGCGCCCCGUAAAACGGGACGGCCCGCCCGAGGACCCCUAAACUCUGUUUUUAGUGGAACUUCUGAGUAAAACAAACAAAUAAAUCAAAACUUUUAACAAUGGAUCU